GGGUGAAGAGAUUGAGUUAGUC
rnacentral:siRNA from 1 species